rnacentral:rRNA from 1 species
GACGACGCUGGCGGCGUGCUUAACACAUGCAAGUCGAACGAGUGGCGGACGGGUGAGUAAUGUCUGCGAAACUGCCUGUGGGAGGGGGAUUACUACUGGAAACGGUAGCUAAUACAGCAUAACAACGGGUGUGCCCAGAUGGGAUUAGCUAGUAGGUGGGGCAAAGGCUCACCUAGGAGACGCACCCUAGCUGGUCUGAGAGGAUGACCAGCCACACGGGAACUGAGACACGGUCCAGACUCCGACGGGAGGCAGCAGUGGGGAAUAUUGCACAAUGGGCGCAAGCCUGAUCCAGCCAUGCCGCGUGUGUGAAGAAGGUCUUCGGAUUGUAAAGCACUUUAAGUUGGGAGGCGUUACCAACAGAAUAAGCACCGGCUAACUCCGUGCCAGCAGCCGCGGUAAUAC